GCAGAAAAGAACAAACUGAAAAGCAGACAAGAGAAGAACAUUUGAGCGGUUCUGUUGCGUCUUCAUUUUACUUGUUUCCUUUCUUUUGAGGGUAUCUUUCUCA
rnacentral:ribozyme from 12 species